GGGCUGGGCGCUCCCUCGGCGCCGCCAGCCUUCAAGUCUUCUCCCCGGCCAGCGUGCGCCCCAGAGCCCCGCGUCUCUCCCCCGGGCGACGCCUCUCCAAGUGCAGUCCGGCCCACCUCCUCCCAGACUGGGACAGCCAGGGUUGAAAUGAGGUGACUAUAUUGGGAGUUGGCUAAGAUCAACUUACUCAGUUAGUUGGACCUUCUGCAAGAUCUGAGACCUCUCUCUCUCUGGAACCCAGAGGGCCAUUAAGGCAUUGAAUGCCUUUUCCUGCAGCUUCAGGUCACUCCAGGAGGCCAGCGAAGGAAGACUGCAGAGCAGAAAUGAGCCUCCUAUGGUCUCCUAGGAACUGGUACCAACACUUUCCUCCUGCUAGGCGAUCUCUUUCUGUGAGGAAAGGCGGUCCAGGGGCCGGGUCUGCGGGAACCAGUAAUACUCCCUUUUCCAGCACCGCCCUCCAUCUGCCCAAGCGCACCAAGACCUCGCCCCCGCUGGUCUCUCUCGACUUGCUCACGGGGCUGGAGACUGUGAUUCCGCCUCUCACUAGCUGUGCUGCCGGCGACCCAGCUCAGCCUCAGUUUCGCUCCAGUGGAACUCACGCUGGCGAGGACAGCGAGCGGCCUGCAGGACCUCGGACAACGUGAUAAUGGAUGAAGAUGUCUGACCCACAACUAAUGAGGCUCCUAGGGAAAUACAGCCCCCAAACAGCAUUCAAGACCAUACCCUUCUGCUCUUUGCCCGUUGAGGGCAGAAAAUACUACCUGGGUUAUUUCAUAAAUUUCGAGCUCUCAGCCUGCUCUGUCCUUAGACCCUGAGUAAAAACUGGUGUUCACAGAAAGGCAAAUAAAAUAAAAUAAAACUCAAUUCCUUAAUGUUUGACCCCAGGGGCAAAGGAGACACUGGUGAGAAGGGGCCACAACUUGGAAAAAGAUUUAUUUUUUUCUGGCUGUAAAUCUCAUCCCGUUGUUCCCCUGCCCAACGAAGCAUGAUAAAGUCCUUUUCCAUAAAGUAUUCAGUAUUAGAGCCACAAAGCUCCCCCAAUCAGUAGCCAUCUGCUUCUACCAUAACUGCUGCUGCCUAGGCAGGGAAGCAGCCGCAGAGAAAGGGCCCCACUGUUAGCUGCCGGACAAAUGAGGAGCCUGAAUAGCUUUGGUUUUCCUUGUGUAUCUGUAUCUAUAGAGACAGGAGAAGAAAGGCCGCAUUAUAUUGAUACAACAAUUGUAAAACAAAACACGGAAGAGGCAUCUAAAGGGCAAUAUCGCAUGCAUCAGGGGUCCCCAGAUAAAAGGGGCGCUAACAGAUUUAUAGAAACCUUUAAUUGCUUUUCAAUUGAAAGCUAAAGAGGCUGGGGCGAAGCUGUGAAGAGUGGCAAAGUGCUCUCCCUCAGCCGUCUGGAGGCGUGAUCGAUUUCACGGAGGGAGGGAGAAGAGAGGCGCCCCAACCGCCCGGCGCCGCUCAGCGAGGCCAGGGAGCGACUGGGCGCGGGGAGCUCCCCCUUGGGCCAGGAGUUUCUGACCUGAUCUUAGAAUCUGCAUCCCCCUCUCCCUCUCGCUCACUUUCCCUCCCUUCCUCCCUCCUUCAGGCCAGCAGGCAAGCGGAGAGUGGAGGAAGGAAAGGCAGUAAAUCUAGCGCCUAGCUCGGGAAGAAACAGACCCAAACCCUCCGCAGGCCCAGACUUUCAACCUAACCACCGGCUAGGGGCGGUGAGGCCUCUGGGAAGGAAAACGGGGCCCCUCCCUCCCCCUACGCCAGCCCCCUCGCCAACUCUAGAUCCGAACAGAAGAACGUAACACCCCAGGGAGAGGUCUUGGGUUAGGUUGGCGCUGGGGUUGGGGUUGGGGUUAGGGCUAGGGUUAGGGUGCACUUCACCCCUCCCCGUGCCUCGGGGGCACUGCCCACCCACGCUGCAGCCCCAGACGUAGGUCCGUCUGUUCCCAAAGCUAAUUUAUUGGUCCGGCCCUCCAUUAUCAUUUCAGCUUCCUAAUUAAUCAAGGAUAAAAGGCAAUGGCGCAAAUUACGAUUAUGAGGGAAGUGGAAGACGGUUUUGAAUAAAAUGAGAGAAGCGAAAUAUGAUUAAUUGAACGACAUGAUAGUGAAAUCUGAAGCUCGAGGAACAGGCCCCAGGGGUCCAGUUCUGGCUGGUCCGCCUGACUGGAUAACCUCUCCUCCUGCCCUAGCGGCUGCCAGGAGGCCGUCUCCACCCUGGGUCACUUGGGUCUCCAGCCCCUGUGCUCACCAGCCUACCCUGUCCCCUUGGCCAUGCCCUCCAAACCACCACCGCAGGGGUCGAAUUUCUGGACCCCUGGCCAGUGAGUCCAUCCACAUCAGUCAGGUGUGCUUGGGGGGGGGGGUGGGAAGGCUACUGGGCACUGAGCUACCUUUUAAAAUUUUGAGACAGGGUCUACUAAGUCCUUAAAUUGGCCAGGGUGGGCUCAAACUUGGGAUCCUCCUGCCUCAGCCUACAAGCGCCUUCUGAUUGAAGUGCCCCAUUGCGGUGGGAAAGCGCAGAGGGUCUUCUCUCUUUCUUUUCUGUCCUCGCCGUCCCUCUAAGCGAGGCUAACACUUUUUGCAGUUGCAGGGAAACAAGUCUAGUAGGUCAUAGAUCGCCUGGACUCAUGUCAGGGAUUAAUAGAGCCCUUGUCUGAUGCUGUUCUCCGGAAUUACGUCAGGAAUUAAAAGGCUGACACCGCACUGGCACACAUUUUGCCUUGGCUGCUCGUUGUGAUUAAUGUUUCCGAGGGGAUUUAUCCUGGGAGCUUAUGGAACUCGUUCUGGGGUCUAAAGCCCGAUGGUGACCGCCUUGCUCAGGGACCUGAGGGCACGGUGGGCGCACACCGCACCCCACGGGACAGGAAGGGAGGGUGAGCUGCGCGGGACGCCGAGCGCGGCCUCUCGGGUCACUCCCCACCACGGCGCGGACUCUGGGGAGGGAAGCAGCGAGGACUGUCCGGGAGGGCUGUGCGGGGAGCCACUGUCCGGCCUGUUGUCUUUGCGGAGGGAGCAGAGGGCUCACCGCCGUGCCAACGCCGCCGAACUUUGCGCGUCCCGGAGCUCUACGACUCGACCCGGGAAGCACCGCACCCCGGACCCUCAGCUGCCAUCUCCGACCCCGAACAAAAACUAGUCACCUUCGCAGAGGGGCCACAUUCACAUCGUCUCCGGCCCGUAGAACCCUCAAGAAUAUGAGGGUGCAAGAGAGAGGGAAGGCAGGAAACCUGUCAAGCGAAAAGAGAGGAGCAAAGCGAAAGAGAGAGGGAAGAGGGCUAGCAGUGGGGAGUAGAGGCGCUGGAGCGCCCCGUUGCUCCGGUGCGUGGCGCGGCUCUCGGGUGGGAAGGGGCGCCACUGCGGCCUCAGGGUAGGGCGGGACCCAGCAGCGCCCACUUCUCCAGCAGGUUCUGGGAAGUGGGGCGCCCCCUCCUGGAGCCUGCGCAGCGCUCCCCGCUGUCCGGCUGGCGCACUGUCCCAGCCACUGCUGCACCCUGGACGACCCGGGUGGGAUAGGAUAGGGGGAUAAUGGGGUUCUGGGAGAUGGGGGUGGGAUGGGGCUGGAAAUCGGUGGCGGGGAGUGGAGUUGGGCGGUCCCCGAGCCCCGUCCGAGGCUGCCUUACCUGCGUCCCCCGGGGCACACCGCCCCCUCCCGGUCAGACAGGCGCCGGCCUGCAGUGCUGAGCAGCCAGGUCAACGCAGAGGCAGCUGGCCGGGAGGAGGGGACCCUGCGUGCCGCUCUCGCUGCGCCGCCAUCUGGAGCCCAGGCGGCGGGGCGGGGUGGGCUGUGAGGACCGGGCAGGCGCGGGGCCCCUUGGCUGGCCGGAGACUCUACGCGGGAGGGGAGGGGAGGCCCUAGGGCCCCGCAGGGGGCGUGGGAGGAGUGCGGCCCUUGGGAGGAGGCGCAGAGGUGGUCCCCAUGAGUCCUCCGGAUCCCGGGCAGGCCCGGUUGCCAGGUGUGGAGAGGAUGCUGGGGACGUGUUAGGCCGCCUCCCCCGGUCCCCAGCUCCUGUCCCCCUGGGAGUGGAGGGCUGGGACCCGAGCUUGGAAACUGUCUUACAGGCGCGCACACCCUUGUUGGCCAGAAGCAGUUUUCUCAUUUCCCCUUCCUCCCACCUCAUCCAUCCCUCUCCAGGAAACACUCCGUUCCAAAUGGCAGGAGGGUUUGGACACCUCCACCCCAAGACAACUACUUCAGCCAGAACGUGGAACGGAAAGUGACAGGCUCUCUCGCACCCUUGAGGAUAAACGUUCCCCAGGCUCCGGUGGGCAGUGGAGGAGGUCGGAACCAGAGAGGCUGAGGAAGGGAUAGGGCGUGGGUAGCUCACCCUUGCACUUGGAGAGUAGAGAAGAGCGGGACGAGCUGGGGCUGUGGAACCCCUUUUCAUUUCAGCUGUUCUCAGUGGGAUUUUUCCUUUAACCUUCUAAACAGUUUUCCUUUUUGGAAUCUGGUUGGGGGCAGGAAGGAGAGAAAAAGCAGGAGAAUACUGGAGGCUGGGGUGUUCUGAGAACUCUGGGCGUGGCGCUGUCUCUCAGAGCCACUCUUGGCGGUGGAAAGGGAGCUGGUUGGGUGAUGGACAGUGGUGGGUGACCCGAAUAAAAAAUAAAGAAAAGGCAGACCCAUUCCCACCCCAACGCAUUCAAAGAUAUCCUCACCCCCAGCUGUCUCGGGUCCGGCAGAAUGGCAUUAUGUAAAAGAUCUGGCAUGUCACCCAGUGGCACAUCUGGUAGGUGUAGAUGGCAUUCAUUAGCGUGGGGCUUCUACUCUGCGGCAUGCCAAAGCGCUGACAGAGAUGCCCGCUGCCAGUCAUUCGUUCGCUGCCAGUCCCAGAGCGCGGCCGGGCUUGAUGGCUCCCUUCCACCCUGGCACCAGGACUGGAGGAAACAAUGUGUUGAGAUCCGAAAAGAUGAAAGCCGAGUUGAGGACGAGAGGCACCCAGCAGAUGUACCCUGUGAGGAGACGAUGGAGCAAGAGUCAUUUAGCAAGAAAGCAUAUGCGGGAGCUCAGGAGGGAGGCUUGGGCACGGUUCUGCCUGCCUGGGGCUGAACUGAGCAGAGGAUGGGGAACCCCUCUAGAAACCUGGAAGCUGAGGUUGUUUCUCUGAAAACACACAGAAACCCAACCCCCAACUCCCUAAUGCAAGACUUCCUCU
rnacentral:lncRNA from 1 species